UACGUUAUGUUGUUUUAUUAUUACUUGAUAAUAUUUCGUCUUUACAUUAGAUGGUUUUGACAUAACAUAAUGAUGUUUAGAUAUAACUCAAUAUGGAACAGUCAUUACUUAAUGAUAUUUCGAUAUUUCACGAUAUGGUUUCGUAUUGACUUGAUAUGGUUUUGUCAUCACUUGAUAUGGUUUGGUCAUUACUCGAUGUGGUUUCACCAUUAUUUAAUGUGGUU
rnacentral:lncRNA from 1 species